UAUUGAAUUAAUUAAUAUCCCAAGGGGUUUAUUCUUAUGUCUGGGUAACAACCAUGCUUCAUUGACCCAACUGGGAGCCUUGAGGACACAGAAGAGAUGUCCAGCUUUCUUGAACAAUCCACUAGGCUCACAAGUUUGGUUCUUGUCAGAAACUGAGAGCCUGUCAGGCUGCUGACAGCACCUAGGACACUGUAUACAGGAGUGUCAGGUGUGUGAUUGGGUCACUGUCAUGUUGAAAACCCUUCAUUGCCUCUCCAAAACCAUCAGGAAGAAGUCCAAGCUCCCCUUUCCCGACAUGCUGGCUAUGGGCUGAAUAUUUGUGCCACCCUCUCCCACGCAAAGUUCACAUGUUUAAAUGCUAACGCCACAAGGUGAUGGUGUUAGGAGGUGGGACCUUUGGGAGGUGCUUAGAUGAUGAGGGUGGAGCCUUCAUGACGGGGGUUAAUGCCCUUUUAAAGAGAUCCCCAGAGAGCUCUGUUGCUCCUUCUGUCCUGGGAGGGAGACACAGCCAGAAGGUGGCUCUCCCGGAAGCAGGCUCUCACCGGACACCUAAUUUGCUAGUGCCUUGAUCUUUGACUUCCAGAGCUGGGAGAAAUCAAUUGUUGUUUGGGAGGGAGGGAGUACGCAGGGCCGGAGCAGUGACAUGGCUCACGGAGCAGAGCCUAUGCCAGGCCACGCAGGAAAAGCCACUGGAUACGUAGAGGCCGGCCGGAGUGGAGUGAGGGUGCAAGUGAGGCUCCAGCUUUGAGGAACUCCGUUUCGGGAGGGCUGCGACAGGCAGCUCCCCAGUGGCAUGGACUCCAGUGGCUCAACCGAGAGCUAGAAGCUGCCUCGCUCUUCCGGGAUGAAGACUGAGCCCCAGGUAGAGUGGAAACGCCCCAAGUAACCCAGGAAACUGGCUCUAGGUAGAGUCUACCUGAACGCAGCAUACCCCAGGCCAAGCAUCCUUUCCUCUCUGAGAAACCCAGAGAAAGAACAUGGAGGGUGAGAUACAGGCACAGAGAGACUGAGGAUCACUGGGGCUAAGACCUGGGCUGUAUCCUCUGAGACGCUUGUCUUUCUCCUUACCCUGCACAACAGCGGCACUGGGGAC